rnacentral:rRNA from 1 species
CCAAUAGCGUAUAUUAAAGUUGUUGCAGUUAAAAAGCUCGUAGUUGAACUUCGGGGUUUACCCAUUGGUCAGGCUUAAUUGUCUGUACUGGUGAGAUAAAUCUCUACCUUCUGAGGAACUUUCAUGUCAUUAAUUUGGUGUGAUUGGAAAUCAGGACUGUUACUUUGAAAAAAUUAGAGUGUUUAAAGCAGGCUAACGUCUGAAUACAUUAGCAUGGAAUAAUGAAAUAGGACGGACUGAUUCUAUUUCGUUGGUUUCUAGGAUCACCGUAAUGAUUAAUAGGGAUAGUUGGGGGCAUUAGUGUUCAAUUGUCAGAGGUGAAAUUCUUGGAUUUAUUGAAGACUAACUACUGCGAAAGCAUUUGCCAAGGAUGUUUUCAUUAAUCAAGAACGAAAGUUAGGGGAUCGAAGACGAUCAGAUACCGUCGUAGUCUUAACCAUAAACUAUGCCGACUAGGGAUCGGACGAAGUUAAUUUUAUAAUGACGCGUUCGGCACCUUACG